AGUGAACGCUGGCGGCAGGCCUAACACAUGCAAGUCGAACGGCAGCACAGUAAGAGCUUGCUCUUACGGGUGGCGAGUGGCGGACGGGUGAGGAAUACAUCGGAAUCUACUUUUUCGUGGGGGAUAACGUAGGGAAACUUACGCUAGUACCGCAUACGACCUACGGGUGAAAGCAGGGGAUCUUCGGACCUUGCGCGAUUGAAUGAGCCGAUGUCGGAUUAGCUAGUUGGCGGGGUAAAGGCCCACCAAGGCGACGAUCCGUAGCUGGUCUGAGAGGAUGAUCAGCCACACUGGAACUGAGACACGGUCCAGACUCCUACGGGAGGCAGCAGUGGGGAAUAUUGGACAAUGGGCGCAAGCCUGAUCCAGCCAUACCGCGUGGGUGAAGAAGGCCUUCGGGUUGUAAAGCCCUUUUGUUGGGAAAGAAAAGCAGCAGGUUAAUACCCCGCUGUUCUGACGGUACCCAAAGAAUAAGCACCGGCUAACUUCGUG
rnacentral:rRNA from 1 species